rnacentral:rRNA from 1 species
ACCGGCAGACGGGAGAGUAACACGUGGGAAGAGCCCUUCAGUUCGGAACAACCCAGGGAAACUUGGGCUAAUACCGGAUACGUCCGUAAGGAGAAAGAUUUAUCGCUGAAGGAUCGGCCCGCGUCUGAUUAGCUAGUUUGUGGGGUAAUGGCCCACCAAGGCGACGAUCAGUAGCUGGUCUGAGAGGAUGAUCAGCCUCACUGGGACUGAGACACGGCCCAGACUCCUACGGGAGGCAGCAGUGGGGAAUAUUGGACAAUGGGCGCAAGCCUGAUCCAGCCAUGCCGCGUGGGUGAUGAAGGCCCUAGGGUUGUAAAGCCCUUUCGGCGGGGAAGAUAAUGACGGUACCCGCAGAAGAAGCCCCGGCUAACUUCGUGCCAGCAGCCGCGGUAGUACGAAGGGGGCUAGCGUUGCUCGGAAUCACUGGGCGUAAAGCGCACGUAGGCGGCUUUUUAAGUCAGGGGUGAAAUCCUGGAGCUCAACUCCAGAACUGCCUUUGA